rnacentral:rRNA from 1 species
UGUGUAGGUGGCAGUGUUAGUCAGUUGUUAAAACCUGGAGCUCAACUCCAGAUCCGCGACUGAAACGGCACAGCUAGAGGAUGGCAGGGAUGUAUGGAACUCAUGGAGUAGGGGUGAAAUCCGUUGAUAUCAUGGGGAACACCGAAAGCGAAAGCAGUACAUUGGGCCACUCCUGACACUGAAACACAAGCUGGUAGCGAAUG